rfam:Ciona savignyi cont_61685, whole genome shotgun sequence.
UGAUGCUGUGUUCUUUAUUUCGUGUGCGUGAGUUAUCGUUAAUAAACCAAAAAGACAAAAAAAAAAAGAUUCUUUCGCCUUUUACUAAAGAAUUCCGUGGAGAGGAGCAGUUCAAUGAGUCUUGAACAUUUUUCGAUAUCCGACUUUGGUCGGUUU